ACGAACGCUGGCGGCGUGCCUCAUCCAUGCAAGUAGAACGCACAGUUUAUACCGUAGCUUGCUACACCAUAGCCUGUGAGUUGCGAACGGGUGAGUAACGCGUAGGUAACCUGCCUGGUAGCGGGGGAUAACUAUUGGAAACGAUAGCUAAUACCGCAUAAUAUUAAUUAUUGCAUGAUAAUUAAUUGAAAGGUGCAAUUGCACCACUACCAGAUGGACCUGCGUUGUAUUAGCUAGUAGGUGAGGUAACGGCUCACCUAGGCGACGAUACAUAGCCGACCUGAGAGGGUGAUCGGCCACACUGGGACUGAGACACGGCCCAGACUCCUACGGGAGGCAGCAGUAGGGAAUCUUCGGCAAUGGACGAAAGUCUGACCGAGCAACGCCGCGUGAGUGAAGAAGGUUUUCGGAUCGUAAAGCUCUGUUGUAAGAGAAGAACGGGUGUGAGAGUGGAAAGUUCACACUGUGACGGUAUCUUACCAGAAAGGGACGGCUAACUACGU
rnacentral:rRNA from 1 species